AACGAACGCUGGCGGUGUGCCUCAUACAUGCAAGUCGUACGCGAAUCCUGCCGCAAGGCAGGGUUUGAGUGGCAAACGGGUGCGUAACACGUAGGUAAUCUUCCUUUGAGUUGGGGAUAAGCCCUCGAAAGGGGGUCUAAUACCGAAUAACACUUCGGGCCGGCAUCGGCCUGAAAUUAAAGAUGGCCUCUGCUUGCAAGCUAUCGCUCGGAGAUGAGCCUGCGGCCGAUUAGUUAGUUGGCGGGAUAAAAGCCCACCAAGACUUCGAUCGGUAGCCGGUCUGAGAGGAUGUCCGGCCACACUGGGACUGAGAUACGGCCCAGACUCCUACGGGAGGCAGCAGUAGGGAAUAUUGCGCAAUGGCCGCAAGGCUGACGCAGCAACACCGCG
rnacentral:rRNA from 1 species